GCCAGUGUGGUGUAGUGAUUUGAGCAUUGGUCUGAAAUUCUGGAGAUCAGGGUUCAAUUCCCUGCUUGGCCA